AGCCGCCGGCCGCGUCCCUGGCCAGCCGGAGCGAGCCUCACUCCCGCAGCCGCCAGUCUCGUUCCAGGGCUCCCGCAGGUUUCGGGAGCCGAGGGGGACCGACAGGCGCUAGCCAAUCGCGAGCACGGAGCCGGCCUGGGGGCGGGGUGGUACCCGCUCCGCCAAUCGGGUGGGGGCGGAGCCAGACGCCGGGGGCGGACGGGAGGACUGGAGGACCGAGGACAGGAAGAUUGGUGGACAGGAGCAGCGACCGGUGGGGAGGGCGCUCGGCGGCGGCCUGCGGCCAUGGCCACCGUGAUGGCAACGACGGCGGCGGAGCGGGCGGUGCUGGUAAGGCGCGCGGGCCAGCGGGCGGGCCGGCGGGGCGGCGGGGCCGGGCGUGACCGCCGGGUCUGUCCCGCAGGAGGAGGAGUUCCGCUGGCUGCUGCACGACGAGGUGCACGCUGUGUUGAAGCAGCUGCAGGACAUCCUCAAGGUAACGACCCGCGCCCUGCCCCGCCGGGCGUGGCGACCCUCCCUCCUCAUCUCCCUGGCUCCACCUGGGGCCGCGCGGCUGCGUCCUGAGCGCCUACAGUGUGCGGCUGCCGCGGCUUUCAGGCAGGGCCCCGCCUCCGCGAACUCGAGCCGACCUCAUUAUAUAAGUACCUGUGUGCGGGCAGGGGCGAGUCCCGACGAGGGUGCUAGCAAGGGCCUGAGUCCCGCCCGGCCUUGGGUCGGGGAAGGCCGCCUUGGGAGCAGCGGCAUCCAAUCUGGGAGCCGAAGAAUUCUGCCUCUGCCUGGCAGUGUGACUUCAGCCAAGUCACUGAACCUCCCUGGGCCUCCCUUUUCUCAUUGGCAAAAGGGAGAUAACAGUACCCGCUUCGCGAGGCUGGGGUGUAGAUAAAUGAGCCAGGCAGCUCACAGAAGUAACCGGCGUAGUGCUUGCUGUGGCCCAGGACCGCGGGUUACCAUAACUACUGCCUUGUUCCCUGACUCUGCCCCUUGCCCCUUUCCCCCUCAACCAAGCUGGGAGGCUGCCCCUGUCUGUUUUGUAUUCCCCGA
rnacentral:sRNA from 1 species